GAUGAACGCUGGCGGCGUGCCUAAUACAUGCAAGUCGAGCGAACGGACGAGAAGCUUGCUUUUCUGAUGUUAGCGGCGGACGGGUGAGUCACACGUGGAUAACCUACCUAUAAGACUGGGAUAACUUCGGGAAACCGGAGCUAAUACCGGAUAAUAUUUUGAACCGCAUGGUUCAUAAGUGAAAGACGGUCUUGCUGUCACUUAUAGAUGGAUCCGCGCUGCAUUAGCUAGUUGGUAAGGUAACGGCUUACCAAGGCAACGAUGCAUAGCCGACCUGAGAGGAUGAUCGGCCACACUGGAACUGAGACACGGUCCAGACUCCUACGGGAGGCAGCAGUAGGGAAUCUUCCGCAAUGGGCGAAAGCCUGACGGAGCAACGCCGCGUGAGUGAUGAAGGUCUUCGGAUCGUAAAACUCUGUUAUUAGGGAAGAACAUAUGUGUAAGUAACUGUGCACAUCUUGACGGUACCUAAUCAGAAAGCCACGGCUAACUACGUG
rnacentral:rRNA from 1 species